CAAUAUCUGGAAAAGAACUGCUGCUGCAUUGCUUUGAGAAACAACAGGGAGCAAAUUACUGGACGGAUUCUUUAACUUACCAAUCAGAACUGCUGACCUUUUAUGACUCUCCGAUUCAAGAAGCCUGCCAAACCCUUACAGAAAAUACCCAGGAGAAGAACUAGAACUGCUGGUUGCAAAGGUCUUGAGACAUCUCCCUGUACUCACAGAUCAUGACUAGGAAUGAACAAAAUCUGGUAAGAGCAUUCAUCUAUUUUAUGGAAAUCAGAAACAUGCAGAACUUAUUGCUUGGCUUGCUCAAAAGACAAUAGUAGAUACAGGGGUUGGCAAAAGUAGGUUUACAUUUGUAUAGAAAAACUGAUCUUGUCACAGUAUCAAACAACUGUAAACCUACUUUUUCCACCCCUGUAAAUAAAAGAAAAAAGUUUGGUGCUCUAAAUAGUUGAGAUAUGGACUCUCACAACUUAAAAAACCAAAGGAGUUUAAGUAUAUUUAAUAAAACAUUUUCCUAUUGAUCCAAAUAUUAAAUAUUUGAACACCAUUAACAAUCUUUCCACAAUUCAUGUCAACUGAAAGUCCAUUUCUAAUCUAAAGGACUGUUGUAAACCUGAUAAGAGCUCUACAGAUCUCUAUAGAUAAAACAUUCUUAAUUUUACUUGUGAGAAGGGAUUUAAACAAAAUUACACACACCUUUUUUUUUUUGGUCUUUCACCAACAUGAUAAAAAGUUUUUAGAAUGUAAACAUUUUUCCACUCUUCAAGUAUUCUAAUAACAGGGGUGGGGGCGGGGAAUCAAGCCACAGUUUCAAAUAAAAUGUGUGUGGCCAAAUGCUUUUCUAAUUACCAAAUAUCAUUUUACCCAUAAACAACAUGUCAAACAUUU